CCUACGGGGGGCAGCAGUGAGGAAUAUUGGUCAAUGGUCGGGAGACUGAACCAGCCAAGCCGCGUGAGGGAUGAAGGUACAGAGUAUCGUAAACCUUUUUUGUCAGGGAACAAAGGCGGGGACGUGUCCCCGGAUGAGUGUACCUGAAGAAAAAGCAUCGGCUAACUCCGUGCCAGCAGCCGCGGUAAUACGGAGGAUGCGAGCGUUUUCCGGAUUUAUUGGGUUUAAGGGGUGCGCAGGCGGUCUGUUAAGUCAGCGGUAAAAGCCCGGGGCUCAACCCCGGCCCGCCGUUGAAACUGGCAGUCUCGAGUUGGAGAGAAGUAUGCGGAAUGCGCGGUGUAGCGGUGAAAUGCAUAGAUAUCGCGCAGAACUCCGAUUGCGAAGGCAGCAUGCCGGCUCCACACUGACGCUGAGGCACGAAAGCGUGGGUAUCGAACAGGAUUAGAUACCCGAGUAGUC
rnacentral:rRNA from 1 species